rnacentral:tRNA from 1 species
GGUGGGGUUCCCGUGCGGCCAAAGGGAGCAGACUGUAAAUCUGCCGUCAUCGACUUCGAAGGUUCGAAUCCUUCCCCCACCACCA